rnacentral:lncRNA from 1 species
UUAAUCCUGAACCCGCAUAUACAACAUCAGUUUAAUGAAUUUGACCCAAACCCACUUUGAUCAACCCCCACAAUUCCAACAAGUCACUGUUUUUCAUUUCCAUUUUGAAAAUACCCGCAGAUCAUUGCAUCCUAUGUGAUAAAUUUGUCAUGGAUUUGAAUAUUCAUCGCUAAACUAAGAACAUAUUCAAGUAGUUCAUAUUUCUUCAAGUUAACGUGGAAUGCUACGCGACAUUGACCUCAAAUUGUAAUCACAAAACCUGCAGAAUAAAUGACUUAACAAAGCGAUAAGGCCCAGUAAUCCAAUUCAAUAACAACACUGUGCAAUUCUAUACGACCAAGUCUUCUACAACAUUUUAGCUACUCAAAGUGCAAUAACAAUUAAGCUACUAAUGACAAUCUGUGUCAUUCAGCCAAGCACAAAACUCCUGCAAUUUUGAAGUAACUUGACACAAACCAGCAGUCUAUCAGUGUACAAAAUAGUCCAACGAAAUCCAUCAUGUAUACACGACAAAUCGACACUCGGUUAUAUAAAACAGUGCAUCCAAUAUCUUUUAACUACUGAUAUGCAACAAUCCAGCAAGCAGAUUUCAUGACCAAAACAGCUGGGCAAUUCUAUUCCAUUUCAGAGCUUGGAAUUGUAGUAGAAUUUCGAGUGUAUACAUGGAGAUAUAAAAUGCAAUGAAGAAGAAGAGGAAGUCAGCAACAACAAGCAGAUAAUCAAAUGCAGCCCAGGAAUGAAAUCAACAGUCCAUAAAUGCUUUAAAACCACAUAGGUCCAAUAGAAUCAACCCAAACAGCACCCAAAAUAACCAGAAAUGAACCCACAAAUCAAUACACUCGUCAAAUAACCCACAACCAAUUCAAUCAAAUCACACCCAAACCAACGAGUGAAUCCACACCUAUUUCUGAUCCUAAAUGAACUGGGAGUGCUGUUUUUGGGGACGAAAUUUUCAGGGUUCACAAAACAGACCCAAAAUCAAGCCAUGAGAUAAAAUGUUGAAAGCUAUGACCUGACAGUGGACUGAACCUCAAUGAAAUAAUGAAAUUUUAUGGUUUUCCUAAUUUUGUAUAUAUACUUUAUUUGUGUUUUUGAGUAUUUGAAUGCAGAAAUUAAUAUGAAGCUAAAUGAAAAGGAAAAUUAGAUUUCUUAUGGAAUUGUUUUUGAGCUGAAAAAUUGAAUACCAUUUUUCAAGGCAUCUUGAAGCCCUUUUAUAGGCAACAUGAAUCAGAUUUUUUGUUUUCAUUUUAGUCCCCCCUUAUUUCAUUUUGAUCCUUAUUUUUCUAACUUGUUGCCCAAGUAAGUACCUCUUAUUUACUGAAAUGCACACUAAAGUACCAUUCUAGAAGGUCUGAUACCCGUUACAAUUCCUAAACUACCAUUCCCUACUUUGGAAAUUACUAUUCUUAAAAGAAACUACCAUUUUCCCAUGCCCAAACUACUCUUACCUUCGCCUGAAAUUACUAACCCCUUACCCUGAUUAACAGACUAAACUAACAAUCCCUAUUAACAAAUCAAAGCUAAAAACUAAUGCCACGAACUAAAGCCAUCUAUCAGAUUAAUUAGAAAGAAACAAAAAAAGUCCCAACGCAAUUAAACUUAUUCUACUUAGCACUGAUAAGGAAAAGACGAUUGCGAGCAAGGCGAAAACCCAAACAGAAAUUAACGUUAAGAACUUUGGUCAAAGAAUUCAUGCAUGCAUAGAAACAGAAAAAAAAGAAAUAAAGAAAUGAAACGAAAUCAACAGACAAGGAUGAUAAGAACUCACUGAUACACACAAAGACUCCAACCAACCUUUACAGACGAAUUCGAACUAAUCUAGUGGGAAUGGAAUGCCAUUGCUUGUGAGUUCUUCAUGAGGAAGGUUUACUGACCAUGUAGCAUCGACUUGGUAACUCCUUAUGAGAAUUCAGAUUUCCCGGCCAAUUUCAAUUCCAAUUUCGAUAGGCUUGAUGGUGAUUCAAAGAGAAUGGCUUGGGUAUUUGGGAUGAGGAAGUUCAGGCGAGUCUAUGGUGCAAAUUUGGUGGUAUUUGGCACACUUUGUGUUUUGACCGGAAAAUUUCAAUUGGACAUUCGAGGGCCUGGGAUAGGAUUCGAGAGAUGACAGUGUGAGGGUUGGAAAGAGGAGAAGAGGGGUAUCUCAAUGGUGUCCUUUUGAUGGUCAUUGGCGUAACUAGCGUUUCCCGCCGGCUAGGGAUUCC